CGCGAAUUCGCCCUUCGGGGUGCACCAGGCGCGAAAACUUUUGCAAUACACGAAAGUGUGACAGGGUCAUCCCGAGUGCCGACCGCUGAGGUUGGCUUUUACCCAGUCUAGAAAGCUGGGGGAAUAAGGAGAGGGCAAGUCUGGUGUCAGCCGCCGCGGUAAUACCAGCUCUCCGAGUGGUGUGGACGUUUAUUGGGCCUAAAGCAUCCGUAGCUGGCUGAACAAGUCCCCUGUUAAACCCACCGAUUUAAUCGUUGGUCUGCGGGGGAUACUGCUCGGCUAGGGGACGAGAGAGGCAGACGGUAUUCCCGGGGUAGGGGUGAAAUCCUAUAAUCCCGAGAAGACCACCAGUGGCGAAGGCUGUCUGCUAGAACGCGCCCGACGGUGAGGGAUGAAAGCUGGGGGAGCGAACCGGAUUAGAUACCCGGGUAGUCCCAGCUGUAAACGAUGCAGACUAGGUGUUUGGACGGCCACGUGCCGUUCUAGUGCCGCAGGGAAGCUGUUAAGUCUGCCGCCUGGGGAGUACGAUCGCAAGAUUGAAACUUAAAGGAAUUGGCGGGGAGCAC
rnacentral:rRNA from 1 species